UUUCUGUCCGUGGAAAUUUUUCUUGAGUGGGAAUGAGCCUUUUUUGAAUUGGCUGUAUAUCUGGAGCGCUACCUCCAACCGGAUAUUUGAAGCCAAACAUGAAGGCCAUUCCCAGUCUUUUCGCGCAUGCAAGAGCACGGCAAUCCGUCAACAUGAAUAUGUAUUUUUGAAAACCAGCUUAUAAUUUGCCAAUAAAGCUUUGAAAACUUUCUAUAAUUCAUUUAUUUAGGGAAAACUUCCUAUAGUAGAAUUUACUUUUAGUUUUUUUCUUAUCAAGACGGCAUGAUCUCGCGAGAGAAUAUGCAUAAACACGCGGGUCUUGAUCUCCAGACACUGCGUGUCUUGGAGUGAGAGUUGGCUUCAAGAAAAAUAUAGACAGUUUAUAUAUGAAGGUAGCGUUCCAGUUAUUCAUCCCACAUACAAUACCUGCCAAUGAUAUUAUUUUGCU